GUUACCGGCAGGUUACAUGACCGAGCACCACCCAUCACUUUAUAGAGGUCGUUAACACACAGCUAAUUGAUGCCUGACUUUGUUCAGUUCCCCUCGUUACUUAUGGUUGUAUGAUUAUGGUUUGUCAUAAAUUUUAAAUGGUAAGUCGCAUCACGCUAUAAAAUAAAUUGCGCCAUACAUAAUUCGGUUGUCCAUUCAGGGAGAACGAAGGACGCGGGCAAGAUGGAAUGGAAUUCUUUUGUAUACAUUUUGCUGCUAUGUGCAUUCCAGUCCUUCGUUGCCAUGGUAACAGCGAAUGGAAAUUAUGAAAGAAGGGAAGAGUGGGCUGAGUACGACCCUGAAGGUAGAGGAGAAUACUACAAAUGAUGUACAAUGAUGGCAUCAUGACGUCACCUUUCCGUUGUUUGGACAGUAAAUAGUUGUCAUGCUGCAG